rnacentral:rRNA from 1 species
GAUGAACGCUGGCGGCGUGCCUAAUACAUGCAAGUCGAACGGUAAGGCCCUUCGGGGUACACGAGUGGCGAACGGGUGAGUAACACGUGGGUGAUCUGCCCUGCACUUCGGGAUAAGCCUGGGAAACUGGGUCUAAUACCGGAUAGGACCACUGCCUGCAUGGGUGGUGGUGGAAAGCUUUUGCGGUGUGGGAUGGGCCCGCGGCCUAUCAGCUUGUCGGUGGGGUGAUGGCCUACCAAGGCGACGACGGGUAGCCGGCAUGAGAGGGUGACCGGCCACACUGGGACUGAGAUACGGCCCAGACUCCUACGGGAGGCAGCAGUGGGGAAUAUUGCACAAUGGGCGCAAGCCUGAUGCAGCGACGCCGCGUGAGGGAUGACGGCCUUCGGGUUGUAAACCUCUUUCAGCACCGACGAAGCGCAAGUGACGGUAGGUGCAGAAGAAGGACCGGCCAACUACGUGCCAGCCGCCGCAGUAA